UACGAAGGGUGCAAGCGUUAAUCGGAAUUACUGGGCGUAAAGCGUGCGUAGGCGGUUUCUUAAGUCUGCUGUGAAAGCCCCGGGCUCAACCUGGGAAUGGCGGUGGAUACUGAGAAGCUGGAGUACGGUAGAGGAAGGUGGAAUUCCCGGUGUAGCGGUGAAAUGCGUAGAGAUCGGGAGGAACAUCAGUGGCGAAGGCGGCCCUCUGGACCAGUACUGACGCUGAGGCACGAAGGCGUGGGGAGCAAACAGG
rnacentral:rRNA from 1 species